CUCUGUGGGAGCUGGCUUGCCUGCGAUGGCGGUGGUGACUGAUACACCGCUAUCGCAGGCAAGCCAGCUCCCACAUUU
rnacentral:antisense_RNA from 1 species